CUCUUUUCUUUUUUUUUCUUUGGUCUUCCUCAUCUCAUGUGAGGAAGCGGAACCAUGGCGGAUAAAUCCGCGGCCAUGCCGCAUCCUGCUCGCACGUCGCCGUGGGGGGCGGCUGAUGUGGGUCCGCCGCGUUCUGCUUGGCCGGCGGCAGAGGAAGCAGUCGCUGUUGGGAGGCUGGGUCCUGCAGUCCUGCUCGGAUGUCGUCGGGCGGGGCGGUUGAUGUGAGGCCACUGCGUCCUGCUUGGCCGGCGGCAGAAGAAGCAGUUGGUGUUCGGAUGCCGCGUCCUGCUUCGCCGACGGCAGAGGAAGAAAUUGGUGUUGGGACGCCGUGUCAUGUUAGGCAGUCAUCGGAUUGGGCGGUGACGCCAAAUCCGCAGCUAGCAUCGAUGGGGAAAUUUUGAGCUCGCGUUCUUCUCCGUCCAUCGGGGAAGAGGUCCUCGUUUCGCGACCGUGGAAGGCAUGUGCGCCGGCGCAGAGAUGGAUCCACUCCGACGUAUGUUCGUAGCCAGUCAUCUCCAUCUGGCACGAACCAGGCGCCAACAGCAGCCGCUGCAGACCUCCUCAAGACCCUUUUUUUUCAUUUGCUACCAAGCAAAGGAUGCCGAGCCUGACAACGAGCCUUUGGAGGUGCCUGCAGCAGCCGAUGUUGGAAGCAGAGGAGCAGCUGUCGGAGGCCAUGGUGGACAGAUUGGAGUCUAUGGAGGCGACACUUCCUCUGUCCGAAGGAUGCGCGCUCACAGCGUUUAUCCAAAGGAUCGUUCGGGAGUUGCCGCAAUUAGUUCUGCAUCUUCCGGCCACCGCUAUUGUGCCUCCUUGUCCAGCAACAUCGGACUCCACCAGGCGAAGCUCUAGGCUGGCUGCAUGGAAGAAUGCAUGCCUAACUUCUGAGCAGGCAGCUCAGAGAUCUGCUCCGGCUUUGAUGAACUGCUCCAUCGGCGCAUUGGGAUCUGUUCCGCGGGCUGUUAUCCAACUUCGUGAUGGACAUCAUUGAGGAGCAUGUCAAGACAGUGAAGAAGGCCAAGAAGGGAAGAGCCGUGCUCUAGGACGGAAUUGCGGACAUCGCUGGCUGUGGCCAUGGCCAUGGAGAUAGAUGUGGCUGAGGUCGUCGCGUUGCCGCCGUCUGAUGCAGGUCAUGUAGAUGUGGAUGCAUCCAACCAAUGUUGCCGGAACGCCCGAGCUGGGUUUCCGCAGCUGGCCCAAGUUCUUCGAGCCUGUCAUAUGUACUGAGUGUUCUAGCUGAUAGGCUGGCGUGCUUGUUUGCCUACUUCUGGGUUUGUGUCACCCAGCUCGUGUCCAUCAGAAGUGGCAGUUUGCUGCCUGUGCUCUUUUUUACUGCUCCGGCGUCGUUGACUGAUCACCCUGCCGGAAGCAGCAGUUUGUUGCCAUGGCUCCGGCGUUGUCUGUGCCUCAAAGAGUCCAGUGAUGUGUCUGAUAGUGUGCUCAUCUUCGACAAACCUUACAGUGUGCUGAGCAUGAAGGCCCGUGGCCUAAACAACUUAGGCCGGCCAAUGCUUUUGCUAACUGAGGACUAAAACUUGGAAUCACGGCUCAGCCGUUGGAACUCAACUUUUGUGCUGAAGAAAUGAGGCCGGGAAUAUGUCUGUGCGCUGAAAAUGGAAACUAACGUUCUUUCUCAUUCUUUGGCUUGUCUAUAGUCUUACAGCUGUCAGCCUCCUAUUGGUUAAAAAUCUGUCUGUUUUUGAAUAGCAAAACAGCUAACUGUUGAAUAGUCAGUCCCAAGCUUUAAGGCUGUUGUGUACCCAGCCUUCUGAGAGCACGCUUUUUCGGCCGUUGGAUCGUGGCUAUGAACGCUCAGGAUGCUCAGUUCGGGUAGGUAGAAGUGAGUUACUGAUACUCUGUAAUCUGUAUUCCUUCACUGACAUCUUGGCCCAACUUUAAGCAUCAUUCUUGGGGUAGAGUGCAUCCGGUAAAAGAGAACGGCACCCAAUAUCUCCUGCACCGACCAAACUUGACUGGUUCUCUUCCCCGACACAAACCCUCGAUUCCCCAUGUACCAUCACCAUCGUGCUCUCAUCCACAGCCUCCGUCGCUGCCCUACUCCGUCUCCUACGCGCCGGUGUCAGGAUCAGGGACGAUCCAUGACGGGUAAAACGCAGCAAGAGGUAGGAGAGGAGCUCUUGUGGCUCAGAUCUACAACAACUAAGGAAAGUAGAUAACAAAAUUAGGGUUUUGGAUUGCUUGAUCCUCCCGACCACCCCACCUGCCCUUUAUAUCGAAAGGCAGGCUCAAGCAAUUACAUCGUUGUCCUAAAAGGAACUGAACUGGUUACAACACGAAAAGGGCAAGAUG